rnacentral:miRNA from 1 species
CAACCCUGAGAACAAUGAAAUCGU